rnacentral:rRNA from 1 species
AAGUCGAACGGUAACAUAAAGAAGCUUGCUUCUUUGAUGACGAGUGGCGGACGGGUGAGUAAUGCUUGGGAAUCUAGCUUAUGGAGGGGGAUAACUACGGGAAACUGUAGCUAAUACCGCGUAAUAUCGAAAGAUUAAAGUGUGGGACCUUCGGGCCACAUGCCAUAGGAUGAGCCCAAGUGGGAUUAGGUAGUUGGUGAGGUAAAGGCUCACCAAGCCGACGAUCUCUAGCUGGUCUGAGAGGAUGACCAGCCACACUGGGACUGAGACACGGCCCAGACUCCUACGGGAGGCAGCAGUGGGGAAUAUUGCGCAAUGGGGGCAACCCUGACGCAGCCAUGCCGCGUGAAUGAAGAAGGCCUUCGGGUUGUAAAGUUCUUUCGGUAGCGAGGAAGGCACUUAGUUUAAUAAACUAAGUGAUUGACGUUAACUACAGAAGAAGCACCGGCUAACUCCGUGCCAGCAGCCGCGGUAAUACGGAGGGUGCGAGCGUUAAUCGGAAUAACUGGGCGUAAAGGGCACGCAGGCGGUGACUUAAGUGAGGUGUGAAAGCCCCGGGCUUAACCUGGGAAUUGCAUUUCAUACUGGGUCGCUAGAGUACUUUAGGGAGGGGUAGAAUUCCACGUGUAGCGGUGAAAUGCGUAGAGAUGUGGAGGAAUACCGAAGGCGAAGGCAGCCCCUUGGGAAUGUACUGGCGCUCAUGUGCGAAAGCGUGGGGAGCAAACAGGAUUAGAU